UGUUCCAGUUGAUCGCAUGGUCUUCUGGGAGCUUUCGCGGUAUGGGAUGGGGUCGCGUCCUAUCAGCUUGACGGCGGGGUAACGGCCCACCGUGGCUUCGACGGGUAGCCGGCCUGAGAGGGCGACCGGCCACAUUGGGACUGAGAUACGGCCCAGACUCCUACGGGAGGCAGCAGUGGGGAAUAUUGCACAAUGGGCGCAAGCCUGAUGCAGCGACGCCGCGUGAGGGAUGGAGGCCUUCGGGUUGUAAACCUCUUUUAUCGGGGAGCAAGCGUGAGUGAGUUUACCCGUUGAAUAAGCACCGGCUAACUACGUGCCAGCAGCCGCGGUAAUACGUAGGGUGCAAGCGUUAUCCGGAAUUAUUGGGCGUAAAGGGCUCGUAGGCGGUUCGUCGCGUCCGGUGUGAAAGUCCAUCGCUUAACGGUGGAUCCGCGCCGGGUACGGGCGGGCUUGAGUGCGGUAGGGGAGACUGGAAUUCCCGGUGUAACGGUGGAAUGUGUAGAUAUCGGGAAGAACACCAAUGGCGAAGGCAGGUCUCUGGGCCGUUACUGACGCUGAGGAGCGAAAGCGUGGGGAGCGAACAGGAUUAGAUACCCUGGUAGUCCACGCCGUAAACGGUGGAUGCUGGAUGUGGGGCCCGUUCCACGGGUUCCGUGUCGGAGCUAACGCGUUAAGCAUCCCGCCUGGGGAGUACGGCCGCAAGGCUAAAACUCAAAGAAAUUGACGGGGGCCCGCACAAGCGGCGGAGCAUGCGGAUUAAUUCGAUGCAACGCGAAGAACCUUACCUGGGCUUGACAUGUUCCCGACGAUCCCAGAGAUGGGGUUUCCCUUCCGGGGCGG
rnacentral:rRNA from 1 species